AUUGAACGCUGGCGGCAGGCCUAACACAUGCAAGUCGAACGAGUGGCGGACGGGUGAGUAAUAUCUGGGAACCUGCCCAGUGGAGGGGGAUAACUACUGGAAAGGGUGGCUAAUACCGCAUACCCUUCGAGUGGCCCCUAUGGGAUUAGCUAGUUGGUGGGGUAAAGGCCCACCAAGGGGACGAUCCCUAGCUGGUCUGAGAGGAUGACCAGCCACACUGGAACUGAGACACGGUCCAGACUCCUACGGGAGGCAGCAGUGGGGAAUAUUGCACAAUGGGCGCAAGCCUGAUGCAGCCAUGCCGCGUGUAUGAAGAAGGCCUUCGGGUUGUAAAGUACUUUCAGCGGGGAGGCGUUACCCGCAGAAGAAGCACCGGCUAACUCCGUGCCAGCAGCCGCGGUAAUUC
rnacentral:rRNA from 1 species